UACGUAGGUGGCAAGCGUUGUCCGGAUUUACUGGGCGUAAAGGGCGCGUAGGCGGCGUGGUAAGUCACUUGUGAAAUCUCUGAGCUUAACUCAGAACGGCCAAGUGAUACUGCUGUGCUCGAGUGUGGAAGGGGCAAUCGGAAUUCUUGGUGUAGCGGUGAAAUGCGUAGAUAUCAAGAGGAACACCUGAGGUGAAGACGGGUUGCUGGGCCAACACUGACGCUGAGGCGCGAAAGCCAGGGGAGCAAACAGG
rnacentral:rRNA from 1 species